rnacentral:lncRNA from 1 species
UGAAAUUUCAAGAAAGUUUAAAUUUGUUGUGGCAUAUACCUCGGGCUUCUAUUUUAGACACAAAUUCUUAGGAAUUAUAGUGGUGACUGUACGGGUUCGCUAGCAUGAGCUCCUUGGUUCGACCACUCACUCGGCCUUGUAUUCGUGAAUUUUCACCUAAGUGUUGCUACCGCUGCUUGUUUCUUAAAGUGUUGUGCUGCAAUUCUAGCAUAAGAGCUAUCAUGUUGCAGCGGCUAGAACGCGCGCGGGGGGCACUUUUGAAGUCAUGGGUUUGAAACCUAGCGCGACCACUCUUCCUUUUUCGCGUUUUUUCACCCAACAAAUGCCAAAUUGACUGGCCCAGGUCAGCCGCCCCACCGUGCGAAACGUCAGCUGUUUGACGCAAGGAGCAUCACAUCGGGGCUCCCGUUACCGACGAGGCAACAAGCACGAGGGAGCCGAGGCCGUGGAAGCGGAGGCGAGCUUCGGAGACCGAACGAAAAUAUGUUUUUUAGGGCUGAAAAGAAAUGUUAUGCCAGGUAUAAUUCGGCCACAUCUCGCUUAGCUGAGCCCACUUACUUGGCCUGCUAUGCGCUUUGACCCAAGCACUACCAUAGUAUCCUCCUUUAAAGAAGUUAUAAUAUUGGACACGGAGAGGGAUAUUCUACUUAACCAUGACUAACUUGUUUGAUUUGGACUCAUACAAUCACCGGAUAGUAUGN